rnacentral:rRNA from 1 species
CGACUGGCGGCGCACAUAAGACAUGCAAGUCGAACGGAAGUCGUGCAAAAUGAAUUGACGAUUUAUCUGAUUGAAGUUUACACAAUGGCUUUAGUGGCGGACUGGUGAGUAACACGUGAGCAACCUGCCUAUCAGAGGGGAAUAACAGUGAGAAAUCAUUGCUAAUACCGCAUAUGCUAACAGUACCGCAUGAUACAGUUAGGAAAGGAGCAAUCCACUGAUAGAUGGGCUCGCGCCUGAUUAGCUAGUUGGUGGGGCAACGGCCUACCAAGGCAACGAUCAGUAGCCGGACUGAGAGGUUGAACGGCCACAUUGGGACUGAGAUACGGCCCAGACUCCUACGGGAGGCAGCAGUCGGGAAUAUUGCGCAAUGGAGGAAACUCUGACGCAGUGACGCCGCGUAUAGGAAGAAGGUUUUCGGAUUGUAAACUAUUGUCAUUAGGGAAGAUACAAGACAGUACCUAAGGAGGAAGCCCCGGCUAACUAUGUGCCAGCCGCCGC